GACGAACGCUGGCGGCGUGCUUAACACAUGCAAGUCGAACGGAAAGGCCCUGCUUGCAGGGUACUCGAGUGGCGAACGGGUGAGUAACACGUGGGUGAUCUGCCCUGCACUUCGGGAUAAGCCUGGGAAACUGGGUCUAAUACCGGCUAGGAGCCAUUUUUAGUGUGAUGGUUGGAAAGUUUUUUCGGUGUAGGAUGAGCUCGCGGCCUAUCAGCUUGUUGGUGGGGUAAUGGCCUACCAAGGCGGCGACGGGUAGCCGGCCUGAGAGGGUGGACGGCCACAUUGGGACUGAGAUACGGCCCAGACACCUACGGGAGGCAGCAGUGGGGAAGAUUGCACAAUGGGCGCAAGCCGGAUGCAGCGACGCCGCGUGGGGGAUGACGGCCUUCGGGUUGAAAACUCAAUUCGCUAGGGACGAAGCUUUUUGUGACGGUACCUAGAGAAGAAGCACCGGCUAACUACGUG
rnacentral:rRNA from 1 species